rnacentral:rRNA from 1 species
CCAGACUCCUACGGGAGGCAGCAGUGAGGAAUAUUGGUCAAUGGGCGGAAGCCUGAACCAGCCAAGUCGCGUGAGGGAAGAAGGCCCUGCGGGUCGCAUACCUCUUUGGACGGGGAGCAAGGCCGCCGACGUGUCGGCGGAAGGAGAGUACCCGUAGAACAAGCAUCGGCUAACUCCGUGCCAGCAGCCGCGGUAAUACGUAGGGAGCAAGCGUUAUCCGGAAUUAUUGGGUGUAAAGGGUGCGUAGACGGGAUAACAAGUUGGUUGUGAAACCCCUCGGCUCAACUGAGGAACUGCAACCAAAACUAUUAUUCUUGAGUGCAGGAGAGGAAAGUGGAAUUCCUAGUGUAGCGGUGAAAUGCGUAGAUAUUAGGAAGAACACCGGUGGCGAAGGCGACUUUCUGGACUGUAACUGACGUUGAGGCACGAAAGUGUGGGGAGCAAACAGGAUUAGAUACCCUGGUA